ACGAAUGUCAUGACAUAACCAAAAGUCCAAAAUCAAAGCAAAAACCAAAUACUCAUGAAUCAACGAAUCAUCACAAAAUUGUAAAGUACAUAGAAACUAGUUGAGUUUAAAUUCGGAGUACCUUUCAUUCUCUCUGUCAGCAUCACAAUUCACAACUAUGUCAUUUCUAAGGUCCAUACUCCGAACAACAACCCUUCACCGUUCAUCUCUUCAAAGACACAUUCGUUCCAUGAGCAAUCUACCAGAAAACACAGUAUAUUCAGGACCAACACCACAAAACAAAAGAGUAACACUUUCACAACUUCGACAAAAACAUCGAAACUCAAUACCAAUCACAAUGGUCACUGCUUAUGAUUACCCUUCUGCUGUUCACCUUGAUACAGCCUCCAUUGAUAUAUGUCUUGUUGGUGAUUCUGCUUCCAUGGUUGUUCAUGGUCAUGACACUACUUUACCUAUUACUUUAGAUGAAAUGCUUGUUCAUUGUCGUGCUGUUGCUCGUGGUGCUAAAACUCCUCUUCUUGUUGGUGAUUUGCCUUUUGGAACUUAUGAAUGUAGUUCAAAACAGGCAGUGGACGCGGCAGUUCGGAUUUUGAAAGAAGGAGGAAUGGAUGCCAUAAAAUUGGAAGGAGGCUCACCUUCAAGAAUUGUUGCAGCAAAAGCUAUUGUUGAAGCUGGAAUAGCCGUGAUUGGGCAUGUUGGUCUUACUCCACAGGCUAUUAGUGUUUUAGGUGGAUUUAGGCCUCAAGGAAGGAAUAUUGCUAGUGCUGUCAAGGUUGUUGAGACGGCAAUGGCUUUGCAGGAAGCAGGGUGUUUUGCUGUUGUUUUAGAAUGUGUGCCUGCACCUGUGGCUGCCGCAGCAACAGCAGCGCUUCAAAUUCCGACUAUUGGAAUCGGGGCUGGACCCUAUUGCAGUGGACAGGUACUUGUUUAUCAUGAUCUUCUUGGUAUGUUACAGCACCCCCACCAUGCAAAGGUUACUCCAAAAUUUUGUAAACAAUACGCUCGUGUCGGAGAUGUCAUCAACAAAGCCUUACUCGAUUAUAAGGAAGAUGUGAUAAAUGGUUCAUUUCCUGAUGCUCAACACAGUCCAUACAAAAUCAGUGAAACUGAUGCUAAUGGUUUCUUAAAUGAGCUGCAAAAUUUAGGUUUUGACAAGGCAGCGUCUGCGGCGUCUGAAGCAGUUCAGAAGAUGGUUACAAAAUCAACAAAGUGACAAUUUAGUAAAGCUACCGACUGGUCCUCCGUUUUUCCUUUGACGUUCUUCGUCUUUUUCAAUGACAGAAUAAAUCGUAGGACUUAAGUGAAUAGAAUUUUGGCAGAACAGAUAGAGGGAUCAUGUAAGUGUCGUGUCGAAACCACUUUACUUAACUAUGAUGGUUUGGAGGGGUAUUCUUAAAGAUAGUUUGCAGGUCUGUUACAAAGUUCUGAGCUGGUUGAAAUUUUCUACGGCACUGCAUAAUCAAACUUUCAGCAAUUCGCCGGACUGUGAGGAAGGAGCAGAAUUUGCACUGAAAAAUUCAGUGUAUUAUGAUUUAUUUGUACAUGGUUUCUUUGGAAAGGUCGUAAUGACAAAAUUUUCAGAGAUAAAGAAAUAUUGCACAUGAUCAAUUGAUAGAAGACAUACAACUCCUCUCGUGGAAAUGUCUAAAAUGUAAAGUGACCAUUCUCAGAUAUCAAGCGCGAAAUAGCGAAUAUCAGAAGCGUAUGCAAACAGUUUGCGAGGUGUGAAUUGUGUUGUGCAUUUAAAGGCAGUGGAAGCGGCAGUUCGGAUUUUGAAAGAAGGAGGAAUGGAUGCCAUAAAAUUGGAAGGAGGUUCACCAUCAAGAAUUGUUGCAGCAAAAGCUAUUGUUGAAGCUGGAAUAGCCGUGAUUGGGCAUGUUGGUCUUACACCACAGGCUAUUAGUGUUUUAGGUGGAUUUAGACCUCAGGGAAGGAACGUUCCUAGUGUCUG